UUAUCGAGUUUUGAACGGGUUGUAGCUGGCCUCUCACGAGGCAUGUGCACGCCUGGCUCAUCCACUCUUAACCUCUGUGCACUUUAUGUAAGAGAAAAAAAUGGUGGAAGCUUCCAGGAUCUCGCGAGAGGUCUUCGGUUGAACAAGCCGUUUUUCUUUCUUAUGUUUUACUACAAACGCUUCAGUUAUAGAAUGUCAACUGUGUAUAACACAUUUAUAUACAACUUUCAGCAACGGAUCUCUUGGCUCUCGCAUCGAUGAAGAACGCAGCGAAAUGCGAUAAGUAAUGUGAAUUGCAGAAUUCAGUGAAUCAUCGAAUCUUUGAACGCACCUUGCACUCCUUGGUAUUCCGAGGAGUAUGCCUGUUUGAGUCUCAUGGUAUUCUCAACCCCUAAAUUUUUGUAAUGAAGGUUUAGCGGGCUUGGACUUGGAGGUUGUGUCGGCCCUUGUCGGUCGACUCCUCUGAAAUGCAUUAGCGUGAAUCUUACGGAUCGCCUUCAGUGUGAUAAUUAUCUGCGCUGUGGUGUUGAAGUAUUUAUGGUGUUCAUGCUUCGAACCGUCUCCUUGCCGAGACAAUCAUUUGACAAUCUGAGCUCAAAUCAGGUAGGACUACCCGCUGAACUUAAGCAUAUCAAUAAGCGGAGGAAAAGAAACUAACAAGGAUUCCCCUAGUAACUGCGAGUGAAGCGGGAAAAGCUCAAAUUUAAAAUCUGG
rnacentral:rRNA from 1 species